rnacentral:rRNA from 1 species
UACAGAGGUCUCAAGCGUUGUUCGGAAUCACUGGGCGUAAAGCGUGCGUAGGCUGUUUCGUAAGUCGUGUGUGAAAGGCGCGGGCUCAACCCGCGGACGGCACAUGCUACUGCGAGACUAGAGUAAUGGAGGGGGAACCGGAAUUCUCGGUGUAGCAGUGAAAUGCGUAGAUAUCGAGAGGAACACUCGUGGCGAAGGCGGGUUCCUGGACAUUAACUGACGCUGAGGCACGAAGGCCAGGGGAGCGAAAGGG